rnacentral:rRNA from 1 species
UAGAGCUAAUACAUGCAACCAAGCUCCGACCUUCGUGGGAAGAGCGCUCUUAUUAGACCGAGGCCAACCUGCUGGGCAACUGGCAGUUUGCUGUGGUGACUCUGAAUAAGCACAGUUGAUCGCACGACUCUACGUCGGCGACGUAUCUUUCAAGCGUAUGCCCUAUCAGCUGUCGACGGUAGGGUAGUGGCCUACCGUGGCAUCAACGGGUAACGGGGGAUCAGGGUCCGAUCCCGGAGAGUAAGCCUGAGAGACGGCUUACACAUCUAAGGAAGGCAGCAGGCGCGCAAAUUACCCAAUGGGGACACCCUGAGGUAGUGACAAGAAAUAACAAUACGCGACUCUUUCGAGGCCGCGUAAUUGGAAUGAGCACAGUCUAAAUCCUUUAGCGAGGAUCAAUUGGAGGGCAAGUCUGGUGCCAGCAGCCGCGGUAAUUCCAGCUCCAAUAGCGUAUAUUAAAGUUGCUGCAGUUAAAAAGCUCGUAGKUGACAAUCGGUGCUYGUCUCGGCGGUCCUGUUCACGCAGGCACUGCCUUGAUGGCCUCUACACACUGGCUUGAGGUCGGGCAGGCUGGGCAACUGGCGGUUCGACCAAAGCCCCGGGUGCCCUUUAUUGGGUGCCCGUGGGUGGCCUUUGCGUUUACUUUGAAGAAAUUAGAGUGUUCAAAGCGGGCUAUCUAUAGCUCGGAUACUCGUACAUGGAAUAAUGGAAUAGGACCCUGGGUCAUUUCCGUUGGUCUAUGGCCAUUGGGUAAUGAUUAAAAGGGACUGCCGGGGGCAUUGGUAUGGUGGGGGGAGAAGGUGAAAUUCCGUGAUCCUCGCCAGACCAACUACAGCGAAAGCAUUUGCCAAGAAUGUCUUCAUUAAUCAAGAACGAAAGUCAGAGGUUCGAAGACGAUCAGAUACCGUCGUAGUUCUGACCAUAAACGAUGCCAGCUUGGAAGUGGCGAUGGUUGUAUUUCAUGACCCCGCCACGGCCCGUCGGGAAACCAUAAGCGUUUGGGUUCCGGGGGAAGUAUGGUUGCAAAGCUGAAACUUAAAGGAAUUGACGGAAGGGCACCACCAGGAGUGGAGCCUGCGGCUUAAUUUGACUCAACACGGGAAAACUCACCCGGCCCGGACACUGCAAGGAUUGACAGAUUGAGAGCUCUUUCUCGAUUCGGUGGAUGGUGGUGCAUGGCCGUUCUUAGUUGGUGGAGUGAUUUGUCUGGUUAAUUCCGAUAACGAACGAGACUCUAGCCUACUAACUAGUUCGCCGAUCUGCUUCUGUGGGUCGGUAAUAAACUUCUUAGAGGGACAAGUGGCGCUUAGCCACGCGAGAUGGAGCAAUAACAGGUCUGUGAUGCCCUUAGAUGUCCGGGGCCGCACGCGCGCUACACUGAAAGAAUCAACGU